AGAACGAACGCUGGCGGCGUGGAUGAGGCAUGCAAGUCGAACGGGAUCCAGCAUGUAGCAAUACAGGCUGGUGAGAGUGGCGUAAGGGUGAGUAAUGCGUGGGUAAUCUACCUUUAAGAUCGGCAUAGCCCGGCGAAAGCUGGGAUAAUUCCGAAUGUGAUCGACCGGUGCAUACCGGUCUAUUCAAAGGUUGGGGACCGCAAGGCCUGACACUUGAAGAUGAGCCCACGUCCUAUCAGCUAGUUGGUGAGGUAACGGCUCGCCAAGGCUUACGGGUAGCUGGUCUGAGAGGACGAUC
rnacentral:rRNA from 1 species